GACGAACGCUGGCGGCGUGCCUAAUACAUGCAAGUUGAGCGAUGAAGAUUGGUGCUUGCACCAAUUUGAAGAGCAGCGAACGGGUGAGUAACGCGUGGGGAAUCUGCCUUUGAGCGGGGGACAACAUUUGGAAACGAAUGCUAAUACCGCAUAAUAACUUUAAACAUAAGUUUUAAGUUUGAAAGAUGCAAUUGCAUCACUCAAAGAUGAUCCCGCGUUGUAUUAGCUAGUUGGUGAGGUAAAGGCUCACCAAGGCGAUGAUACAUAGCCGACCUGAGAGGGUGAUCGGCCACAUUGGGACUGAGACACGGCCCAAACUCCUACGGGAGGCAGCAGUAGGGAAUCUUCGGCAAUGGACGAAAGUCUGACCGAGCAACGCCGCGUGAGUGAAGAAGGGUGUCGGAUCGUAAAACUCUGUUGGUAGAGAAGAACGUUGGUGAGAGUGGAAAGCUCAUCAAGUGACGGUAACUACCCAGAAAGGGACGGCUAACUACGUG
rnacentral:rRNA from 1 species